GGCGAGGCCGAAAGGCGUAGUCGAUGGGAAACAGGUUAAUAUUCCUGUACUUGGUGUUACUGCGAAGGGGGGACGGAGAAGGCUAUGUUGGCCGGGCGACGGUUGUCCCGGUUUAAGCGUGUAGGCUGGUUUUCCAGGCAAAUCCGGAAAAUCAAGGCUGAGGCGUGAUGACGAGGCACUACGGUGCUGAAGCAACAAAUGCCCUGCUUCCAGGAAAAGCCUCUAAGCAUCAGGUAACAUCAAAUCGUACCCCAAACCGACACAGGUGGUCAGGUAGAGAAUACCAAGGCGCUUGAGAGAACUCGGGUGAAGGAACUAGGCAAAAUGGUGCCGUAACUUCGGGAGAAGGCACGCUGAUAUGUAGGUGAAGUCCCUUGCGGAUGGAGCUGAAAUCAGUCGAAGAUACCAGCUGGCUGCAACUGUUUAUUAAAAACACAGCACUGUGCAAACACGAAAGUGGACGUAUACGGUGUGACGCCUGCCCGGUGCCGGAAGGUUAAUUGAUGGGGUCAGCGCAAGCGAAGCUCUUGAUCGAAGCCCCGGUAAACGGCGGCCGUAACUAUAACGGUCCUAAGGUAGCGAAAUUCCUUGUCGGGUAAGUUCCGACCUGCACGAAUGGCGUAAUGAUGGCCAGGCUGUCUCCACCCGAGACUCAGUGAAAUUGAACUCGCUGUGAAGAUGCAGUGUACCCGCGGCAAGACGGAAAGACCCCGUGAACCUUUACUAUAGCUUGACACUGAACAUUGAGCCUUGAUGUGUAGGAUAGGUGGGAGGCUUUGAAGUGUGGACGCCAGUCUGCAUGGAGCCGGCCUUGAAAUACCACCCUUUAAUGUUUGAUGUUCUAACGUGGACCCGUGAUCCGGGUUGCGGACAGUGUCUGGUGGGUAGUUUGACUGGGGCGGUCUCCUCCUAAAGAGUAACGGAGGAGCACGAAGGUUGGCUAAUCCUGGUCGGACAUCAGGAGGUUAGUGCAAUGGCAUAAGCCAGCUUGACUGCGAGCGUGACGGCGCGAGCAGGUGCGAAAGCAGGUCAUAGUGAUCCGGUGGUUCUGAAUGGAAGGGCCAUCGCUCAACGGAUAAAAGGUACUCCGGGGAUAACAGGCUGAUACCGCCCAAGAGUUCAUAUCGACGGCGGUGUUUGGCACCUCGAUGUCGGCUCAUCACAUCCUGGGGCUGAAGUAGGUCCCAAGGGUAUGGCUGUUCGCCAUUUAAAGUGGUACGCGAGCUGGGUUUAGAACGUCGUGAGACAGUUCGGUCCCUAUCUGCCGUGGGCGCUGGAGAACUGAGGGGGGCUGCUCCUAGUACGAGAGGACCGGAGUGGACGCAUCACUGGUGUUCGGGUUGUCAUGCCAAUGGCACUGCCCGGUAGCUAAAUGCGGAAGAGAUAAGUGCUGAAAGCAUCUAAGCACGAAACUUGCCCCGAGAUGAGUUCUCCCUGACCCUUUAAGGGUCCUGAAGGAACGUUGAAGACGACGACGUUGAUAGGCCGGGUGUGUAAGCGCAGCGAUGCGUUGAGCUAACCGGUACUAAUGAACCGUGAG
rnacentral:rRNA from 1 species